rnacentral:tRNA from 1 species
GCCUGGGUGGCCGAGCGGUUCUAGGCGCUACAGCCUGGAACGCUAUGGUCGCAGGUUCGAAUCCUGCCUCGGGCA